rnacentral:rRNA from 1 species
AGCGAACGCUGGCGGCAGGCCUAACACAUGCAAGUCGAACGAAGCCUUCGGGCUUAGUGGCGGACGGGCGAGUAACACGUGGGAACGUACCUUUUGGUUCGGAAUAACGCAGAGAAAUUUGCGCUAAUACCGAAUGAGCCCUUCGGGGGAAAGAUUUAUCGACGAAAGAUCGGGCCGCGUUGGAUUCGGUAGUCGGUGUGGUAAAGGCGCACCAAGCCUACGAUCCAUAGCUGGUCUGAGAGGAUGAUCAGCCACACUGGGACUGGGACACGGCCCAUACUCCUACGGGAGGCAGCAGUGGGGAAUCUUGCGCAAUGGGCGAAAGCCUGACGCAGCCAUGCCGUGUGAAUGAUGAAGGUCUUAGGAUUGUAAAAUUCUUUUACCAGGGACGAGAAUGACGGUACCUUGAGAAAAAGCCCCGGCUAACUUCGUGCCAGCGGCCGCGGUAAGAC